UCGGGAAUUUUGGGCAAUGGGCGAAAGCCUGACCCAGCAACGCCGCGUGAGGGAUGAAGUAUUUCGGUAUGUAAACCUCGAAAGAAUGGGAAGAAUAAAUGACGGUACCAUUUAUAAGCUCCGGCUAACUACGUGCCAGCAGCCGCGGUAAUACGUAGGGAGCAAGCGUUGUUCGGAUUUACUGGGCGUAAAGGGCGCGUAGGCGGCGCGGUAAGUCACUUGUGAAAUCUCUGAGCUUAACUCAGAACGGCCAAGUGACACUGCUGUGCUAGAGUGCGGAAGAGGCAACCGGAAUUCUUGGUGUAGCGGUGAAAUGCGUAGAUAUCAAGAGGAACACCUGAGCCGAAGGCGGGUUGCUGGGCCGACACUGACGCUGAUGCGCGAAAGCCAGGGGAGCAAACG
rnacentral:rRNA from 1 species